rnacentral:lncRNA from 1 species
CUUCAGCCAACUGUCACUGGGGGACAGAAUCCUUUGGAAGGCUUCAGCUGUUAACAGUUUAGAAUGUCGCUGUUCCCAGGAGCCUUUGCACUAAAUAGUGGAGAUGGGGUGGGCAGAUGUGGAGGGGUGAAAGAGCAGUUGUGAAACUGAGCCAUCAACUGUGCCUAGAGAUCACUGAAGUGAAGGACCGGAGACACUAAAGCUAAGAGUUAACGUUUAUUGAGCAUCUACAGUAUACCAAGCCCUCUUCUAGAAACAAAUGAACACAAAGUUCUUGGCACAGUGCCUGGCACAGUCAGGCUCCAUCAAGUUUCAUUUCCUUUCUCCCUGCUAUUAAAUGAGAAAGAGGGCAUGAGGAGGUGGGAGUAAAGGAGCCAGAAAGGGAAGGUAGGAGACUGGCAAGAAGAAGCUCUGGCUGCUCUGGGAUGCAACAUGCAGGUUCCCGCAACCCUCCUGGAGUAGGAGGAGAAGCUGCCCCUCACUGACCACUCAGGAAGGAGAGAAGCUUCCCAUGUCAACGCCCCCAGCUCUCAUCUGGGUCAGAGCCAGCAAUGAGGACAGGUGGGAGAGUAGAAGGAAUGACUCUUCUCCCUUGGGCUGCCUCUGAUCCCCACCAAGUCGGUCCUCUGUCCCCAACUUACCCUCCUGGUCAGAGGAAAAUGUCCUGGG